rnacentral:rRNA from 1 species
UACGGAGGGUGCAAGCGUUAUCCGGAUUCACUGGGUUUAAAGGGUGCGUAGGAGGGCAGGUAAGUCAGUGGUGAAAUCUUCGAGCUUAACUCGGAAACUGCCGUUGAUACUAUCUGUCUUGAAUACCGUGGAGAUGAGCGGAAUAUGUCAUGUAGCGGUGAAAAUGCUUAGAUAUGACAUAGAACACCAAUUGCGAAAGGCAGCUCGUUACACGAAUAUUGACUCUGAGGCACGAAAGCGUGGGGGAUCAAAACAGG